rnacentral:misc_RNA from 1 species
AUGAUUGUUGCACUGGUGAUACAUCGCACUGCCAAGAGCCAGCAAAGAUGUGCAUGUAAAAGAACAUUUUGAACAAGAUUUUGCCGACAUUUCGAUAUAUAGCUGAAUCGUGCCAUGGUAACCCUACCAAGUCAUACUAAAGCAACAUAAAAGUAGAGAUAUCUUGUACAUCUUCCCUGACGACAGCGUUUCCUUGAAAUCACAGGACUUGUCGAUGCAUUAUUAAUAGGCUGUCCAUGGUGCCUAAUGGCCCGAGGCAUCCAAAGCACUGAGUCAAGGAGCAACAAUAAUGGAGCCCAGUAAAAUUAGACGUGUAGAUGCAUUCGAAAAAUCCUAUACACCAAAUGGCCAAAAUACGAGAGUUGCAGCGCCAAAUUCACCAGGAACAAUGAGUCAAAGGUACCAAAGGUUUCGGAGCAGCUUACAUGAGUACGGAAACAGUGCUUCGUUCCACGGCCUUCGGUUCGUGACUGACCCGCUGGCCAACAAACCAAGAAGACUGAUAUGGCUCUGUUUGCUGACGGCAUGCCUCGCUGUUCUUGUGUAUCAGAUAGUGGACCGUGUCACACACUUUUAUUCCUACCCAGUCACAGUUAAUGUAAAAGUCAACUAUAACACGACACUACAGUUUCCGGCUGUCACAAUUUGCAACCAAAAUGCAUUCAAAGCAACAUUGUCUGCUACCUUAAGUAGAUACAGACUUAUUGAAGAAAUGUAUACGGAGCCUGAAACCUUUAACCAGGACCGACUCCGUGAAUUUUCAGCUGAGAACAUCUCUCUCGCUGAUCUGUAUUUAGAAUCUGCACACAGAAAGGAAGACUUUAUUUUCAGAAGUGUGUGGAAAGGCCACCCUGUAGCAGACUCCGAUAUACACGAGCUGGUGACAGACCACGGAGUCUGUUAUACCUUCAAAAACACGGGCCUGGAUGGAUUCGUCACAUCUCCGGGUGUUGAAAAUGGAUUGCGUUUGACGUUGAACAUUGAACAGUAUGAAUACAUGCCUGGCCCCCAUGAUGCCGCCGGAAUCAAGAUGCUGCUCCACGACAGAGACGAAAUCCCUCGCGUCCACGCCCUCGGGCAAGCUAUUCCCCCGGGCGCCCAUGUGUUUGUGGGCGUCAAGAUAGUAGAGGUAACAAACCUCCCCCUACCCCACGGAAGCUGUCUGGACAAGACCUUGGAGUACUCGGACGUGUACACGACCGAGGCCUGUCAGCUAGACUGUCUAACCAGGAGGGCGGGGCAAAUCUGUGGCUGUCGAUCUUUAUUCAUGCCUCAAAAAAAUGGAUAUCCUCCCAUCUGUACGUUAGACGCAUUUUAUGGCUGCCUUCAAAAUGUACUCGAAUCCUUUCCAGCCGAAUCAGCCGAUCUCUGCGAUUGCCCUGUACCGUGUUAUUUCAGGCUCUACGAAACAGACAUUUCGUAUGCAAGUACAUCGGCGUACACACUAAACAAACUAUUAGGUGAAGAUGAUAAGAACAAUUUAACUGAAAAGUUGUUGAGAGCUUCAGAAGUCACGUCUCGAUACGAGCUCAACAAGUUUUCAAAAAUUCAGAAAUUGAAUGAUCGUUUGAAACGUAAUAUGAACGAAUUAAGAGAAAAAGUUACAGUCAAUUUGAAAGAGACCGUCAGUAGUGCAAUAGUGGCUGUAAACGAUAGGUACCAAGAUAUCGAGGAGCAUUACAACUGGAAAGAAUACCUGUACAGAUAUCAAGCGUACAUCAUGGAGAAAAAUUUUAUGCGUCCAAGAGAUGCAUAUGAGGAGCGCACAUUUCAUAUUGUGGCUUUGGGCUAUGCUGAAUACAUAAUGAAAAUAGAGAGUAGAAUCCGCAGACUUGCCAAUGGCAACAUCGUCGACGCUUCGUCAAGACAGGUUCUUUUUGAUGAUACCUUAGACUUACUUAGUAGUAGACGAAAGAUAGUAGAAACUGCUUUGGUGAAUUUCACAACAUUAAUAGAAGCAUACGACACUGGUAUACAGAUUUUCAAUUACAAGUUUUUUAGUACUCCAAGAUCACAUAACAUACCUGCGGCUCCGAAGCCGCUUAUUAAGGAAUCGAGAGUUCAUAAUUCUUACGCUAAAAAGUAUGGAAAACGUUUCGGCACGUACCUUAACCGGACAAUUAACAUUCUCAAUUUUUGCCAAUCUGUGGUCGACGAGGCUUUUUACAACAAAACCCUAGACGAAGGAAACAUGACAGAAUGUCGCGAGACUUUCCGUUUCCUAAUGCGGAACUGGGUGUUUGCUAGAAGCGUAUUCUACUUCGAAACAAUAGACUGGCCACUGAAACAAAUCGAAGAAAGGCUAAAAAAUUUUGACAUACUGUGGAACGAAUUAAAACAGUUUAUGAGAAUCUCGACAUAAGUUUAGCCUCCUUAAAAUCCGAAAUAGAGGUGUUUGAAAAGAGUACAUUUGUCGAGAUGGAAGACAUCCAUGAUGCCAUCGAAGGAUACCUGAAUGAUACUGUUACGAAAGCAAAUGUAUCGGACAUUUUCACCUCAACUAACUUUCGACACUUAACUACAAGCUUCGAUCAGUUUUUCCAGCACGUCCGUUCCAAGGAAUCUUCGGUAUCUGACUGGAUACAGCAGUUGGCCAAAGACGCUUUCGAAAUUUUAAAAGUUAUCGUUAAUGAUGAAGACUCAUGGGAAUAUUAUAAUUUCACCGGGAAGACGCAUUAUUUAGGCAAUAUCUCAGAAAUUGGACAAAAUUUAGGAGAAAACUUUACUUUUGUAGCCGAGUUAAUGCACUUUUCUGAUUUUAUAAAUGGAACUGAUUCGAAUAUCUUAUCAACUUAUAAUGACAUAGUGCAAGGAAUGACAGAAUAUAAAGAGUCCCUGAAAAUCGACAGCAGUUUUAUAAAGGAUAAUUUUUUGAAUGUUGACAUUUUCUACCGUCAAAUGAGCUAUGAAGAAAUCCACCAACAAAAAGCAUAUGAAAUGUUUUCCCUCUGGUGUGACAUUGGAGGAACAAUGGGUCUUUUCUUGGGAGCUAGUUUUUUGUCUGUUGUAGAAAUUGUGGAUUUUAUAUUUACUCAUUUAACGUUUGCGAAAACCCCCAAAGAAGACCAAGUAAAGAAGAUUUAUCUUUGAAAGUGAAAAUAGCGUCAAUUAUUGCACAUAAAUAAAAAUUGAUAUAACGAUCUUUAUUGCAUGACGGUAAACCAAAACCUUUUUUUUUUUUUUUAAAUAAAUGCACUGUAACUAAGAUUUGAAUAUGAUAUAAUGGAAUAAAUAUUGAAU